rnacentral:rRNA from 1 species
UACUCCUACGGAGGCAGCAGUAGGGAAUCUUCCACAAUGGACGAAAGUCUGACCGAGCAACGCCGCGUGAGUGAAGAAGGUUUUCGGAUCGUAAAACUCUGUUGUUGGAGAAGAACAGGGACUAGAGUAACUGUUAGUCCUUUGACGGUAUCCAACCAGAAAGCCACGGCUAACUACGUGCCAGCAGCCGCGGUAAUAC